UUAGUGGCGAACGGGUGAGUAACACGUGAGUAACCUGCCCUUGACUCUGGGAUAAGCGUUGGAAACGACGUCUAAUACCGGAUACGAGCUGGGACCGCAUGGUCACCAGCUGGAAAGAACUUCGGUCAAGGAUGGACUCGCGGCCUAUCAGUUAGUUGGUGAGGUAACGGCUCACCAAGACGACGACGGGUAGCCGGCCUGAGAGGGUGACCGGCCACACUGGGACUGAGACACGGCCCAG
rnacentral:rRNA from 1 species